GGGUAUUCUCGAGUGAUUAACACGUUAUGAAACCAGAGUUGUUAUUGCUUGAGAAUACACGU
rnacentral:pre_miRNA from 1 species